UUGGCCUACGGGACGCAGCAGUGGGGAAUAUUGGACAAUGGGGGGAACCCUGAUCCAGCGACGCCGCGUGAGUGAAGAAGUAUUUCGGUAUGUAAAGCUCUCUCAGCAGGGAAGAAAAUGACGGUACCUGACUAAGAAGCCCCGGCUAACUACGUGCCAGCAGCCGCGGUAAUACGUAGGGGGCAAGCGUUAUCCGGAUUUACUGGGUGUAAAGGGAGCGUAGACGGUGCAGCAAGUCUGAUGUGAAAGGUCGGGGCCCAACCGCGGAACUGCUUUGGGAACUGUUUUGCUGGAGUAUGGGAGGG
rnacentral:rRNA from 1 species